rnacentral:lncRNA from 1 species
AUGGUGGCGCCCGCGGCUCGGGUCUUCCUCCGGGCAGUGCGCGCGGCUCUCACUUCCACGGUCCCGGACCUGCUCUGCCUCCUGGCCCGAGGCUCCCCGCGUGGCCUCGCGUCUGGUCGCCUACCCCUCGCGGUCCACUCCGCCCAGCAUGGACCUGGAUCCGGGGCGCCUUGGUUGCGAAUUGCCAGGAGGGCCCUGAGAUUUGUGUUGUCAAAACACUGGGGGGAUGAUUGUUACCUGACAAACCGCCUCUGGCAGGACCUGAAGCCUCCCAGUCACGUCGAGAACGGGCAGGAGCUCAGGUUGGCGCCGCCGGUGCAGUGGGCAUUACAGCCAAAGAAUUUAGAACGAGUCUACGUGGACACGCAAGUUUCAGCGAGCGGGGAUUUCCUGCGAGGCCGAGCGCGAGGAACAGCCGGCCCCGGAGGCUCGGGCUCGGGGUCUCCCCGGGGACGCGGCCGACUGAGAAGGCCGGGGCGCUCGCCGGGCGCGGCGCCGUCCUCCGUGUCGCGGGGACGGAAGGAGGCGACGCAGGCCAGGAGUCGUGCGCGCGGGCGGCGAGGGGGCGCUGUGGCCCGUGUCUGCCGGCCCGAGUCCCGGCAACGGUGGGCGCGACCCACCUCCUCCCCCGGCGGCUUAAUUCGGGGAAGAAGAAAAAACGGCAUCGAGGCAUUUCAAUAA